AGUGUCUGUGGGCGCAGUGUGCAGCGGAAGUUCGUGCCGCUAGUAGCUGCAGUUCAGGCGGAUCCCGUCGGUGUCUGAUCACAAACUUUCUGUCAAACCCGAAAAACACCCGGAAUCCGGUGACAUGGGGGAUAAGGAGUUGAUGUGGGCUCUGAAGAAUGGAGAUCUGGAUGAGGUGAAGGCUCUGCUGGUGAAGGCUGAGGAUGUGAACAGGACUCUGGAAGGAGGCCGCAAGCCGCUUCAUUACGCUGCAGACAGCGGUCAGGCCGAGAUGCUGGAGUUGUG